rnacentral:tmRNA from 1 species
CUUGAUUUUUUAUAAAAAUGUCGAUAUAUUAUGCACUGCCAAGCAAUUGGCUGUGACACCAGAGGCCUUAUGGAAUAGGUGCAUUGGACCCGAGGGCAGUACUCGGCACCUCCACCAUUUUUUACGGGGGUGAAACAGGAUCGACAGUGUUCAGUAAAGAUUUGUGUUGUGUCCGGCAAGAUACCACCGUUAUCGGUUCAAAAUAAACGAAUGCAAAUGAUAAUUUUGCACCGGUUGCAGUUGCUGCUUAAUUUAGGCAAAUGCAACAAAUUUCAAUCCUUUAGGCAUUGGUUUGCUUAAAGUGGGGGCUGAGCCACCUAGCAACAGAACGGCU